rnacentral:tRNA from 1 species
CCCCCCGUAGCUCAGAGGAAGAGCGCUCGGCUGUAGACCGAGUGGUCGGGGGUUCAAAUCCCCCCGGGGGGACCA